CUCGCCCGUGGGAAGCGUUGUAGGUGGUGUCCAGUCUGGAUCGGGAAGUGCUUGGGACCAGCUGCGGCGUGGAUGGGACGUGGCCUUGGAGAAGGCCGAGGACAUCGCUUGGGAGCAGCUUUUCUUCCGGCGGCGGGUGGCGUGCGCCGGGCUCUGUGGAUGCUGAGGCUGCUCUGGGCUCCGCCA